GCAGCCUGAAAUUUUUCUUGUGGAGUGGACUGAAGUAAUCCAUCAAACUAGCUGCAUUAUUGAUUCUGUUCUUUUUGCUGGCGAGUGUGAAACAUCCCCAGUUAAAAUUGGGAAUUCUUGCGACGUCUUCAACAAGGACGAAAUAUUUGGAGUCGACAUAAUCUUGUACCGUGGGUGCUAAAAUAAUGCCAAUAGCAUACAAAACAAACCGCCUGAUGAAAUGAUCAUCUGGAGUUUUGGAGGCUUUAAUUUUGUCCUCGAGGUCACUCAGCUUAAGUCUUCCAUCUGUUUGAUAAGCCCUUAACAGCUCUUCGCUAGCAGCACCAACAUAAUACGUCGGAGAGACACUGACUUCAUCUUUGUUAGCCCUCCAAGACCGGUUUGAGUGCAGAUGGCCUUUAGGUGCUCGUCAUCUAACACAUCAAUCAUUUGCGCGAACCUUAUCGGUGAGCACAUUAACCU